rnacentral:rRNA from 1 species
ACAGUUACCCGUCUAGCCUGAACAAAUAUAAAAACUUAAUUCUUGAUACACUCCCAUCCUGUCCUAAAACAUUUUUAAUCUAUAGUAUAUGCGAUAAAAAAAGAAUCCAGAGCUACAACAACAGUACCGCAAGGGAAUGAUGAAAUAAUAAUGAAACAUUUUUUACACUAAACAAAGCAGAGCUUACAUCUUGUACCUUUUGCAUCAUGGCCUAACAAGUCUAAUUCAGGCAAAAAGAAUUCUAGUCUGACCCCCCGAAACUAAGUGAGCUACUCCAAGGCAACCCCUAGAGUAAACCCGUCUCUGUGGCAAAAGAGUGGGAAGACCUUCGAGUAGAGGCGACAAACCUAUCGAACUUAGUGAUAGCUGGUUGCUCAGGAAAAGAAUCUUAGUUCUCCCUUAAGAAUUAACUAGCGUAAUUUAAGCAAACCAAAUUCCUAAGAGCUAUUCAAUAAGGGUACAGCCUUAUUGAAAAAGGAUACAACCUCCACUUCAGGUUAAUGAUUAAAUUUAUAAGAGGAUUAAAGUGAAGUCGGCCUAAAAGCAGCCAUCUUACUAAAAGCGUCAAAGCUUUACCUUGUUUUUACCACUUAUACGAUUAUUUUAUCAAAACCCGAUAACACUACUGAGCUGUUUUAUAUCUGUAUAAAAGCAUUUAUGUUAGGACUAGUAACACAGAAUUAUUUCUCUUACAUGUAAGCAUACAUCAGAUUGAAUACCUCACUGAUUUUUAUACAGUUUUGAAUACAAAGUAAUACCCCCCCCCGAAAACUUUACUCACUCAACUGUUAACCUAACACAAGAACAUGAAAGAAAGAUUAAAAGAAUGGGAAGGAACUCGGCAAAUAUUAGUCCCGCCUGUUUACCAAAAACAUCGCCUUUUGAACAUUAUAAAAGGUAACGCCUGCCCAGUGACAAUUUGUUUAACGGCCGCGGUAUUCUGACCGUGCGAAGGUAGCGUAAUCACUUGUCUUUUAAAUAGAGACUAGUAUGAACGGCAUCACGAGGACUUAACUGUCUCCCCCCUCCAAUCAGUGAAACUGAUCUCCACGUACAAAAGCGGGGAUAAUUUCAUAAGACGAGAAGACCCUAUGGAGCUUUAAACCAAAGCCCACUUGUUUAACCUGCUAUAUUAAUUUAGUACUAAAAUAACAAGCCUGAUUCAGGUUUUCAGUUGGGGUGACUGUGGAGAAAAACAAAUCCUCCAUGAAGAUUAAUGCUUUGAACAACCGUUCUAAGCAUUAGCAAGCCUAACUUUACUUGAUCCAAUAUUUUGAUCAACGGACCAAGUUACCCUAGGGAUAACAGCGCAAUCCACUUCAAGAGUCCAUAUCGACAAGUGGGUUU